rnacentral:tmRNA from 1 species
GGGGGCGUAAAGGUUUCGACAGGGAUUUUGAAACAGAGGAAGCGAGCGGCGGUGCGGGACCGCCAUAAAAUCCGCAAUUGAUAAAGAAUAAAAGACAACAAUACUGUUGCUCUUGCUGCUUAAUUAAGCAGCCGUCCGAUUCCGGAGUACCGCGACCGGAAAAGGGCGUCGAUUAGCGGUGCACAUGAACGGAGGGUUGCCCUUCCUUCCGUCACGACCCGGGGCUACUGAGACCGCAAGGCCGGCAACUGCCGUGCGGACGAGGGAAUGCAAACAGUUGCCUGCGCUCGGAGAUGCUUCUGUGGAUUGAUUUUUGGACAGGGGUUCGAUUCCCCUCGCCUCCACCA